GAUGAACGCUAGCGGCGGGCUUAAUACAUGCAAGUCAAGGGGUAGCAAUACACCGGCGUACGGGUGCGUAACGCGUAUGGAACCUGCCCUUAUCUGGGGGAUAACUCGGGGAAACUCGAGCUAAUACCGCAUGGUUUUACUAUUAAAGAAUUUCGGUUAUCGAUGGGGAUGCGUUCCAUUAGUUUGUUGGCGGGUAACGGCCACCAAGACUACGAUGGAUAGGGGGUUCUGAGAGGAAGGUCCCCCACAUUGGAACUGAGACACGGUCCAAACUCCUACGGGAGGCAGCAGUGAGGAAUAUUGGUCAAUGGACGAGAGUCUGAACCAGCCAAGUAGCGUGAAGGAUGACUGCCCUAUGGGUUGUAAACUUCUUUUAUAUGGGAAUAAAGUAUUCCACGUGUGGGAUUUUGUAUGUACCAUAUGAAUAAGGAUCGGCUAACUCCGUG
rnacentral:rRNA from 1 species